rnacentral:rRNA from 1 species
AGUUUGAUCAUGGCUCAGAGUGAACGCUGGCGGCAGGCCUAAUACAUGCAAGUCGAACGGCAGCACAGCAGAGCUUGCUCUGUGGGUGGCGAGUGGCGGACGGGUGAGGAAUACAUGGGAAUCUGCCCAGUCGUGGGGGAUAACGUAGGGAAACUUACGCUAAUACCGCAUGCGCCCUUCGGGGGAAAGCCGGGGACCUUCGGGCCUGGCGCGAUUGGAUGAGCCCAUGUCGGAUUAGCUGGUUGGCGGGGUAAUGGCCCACCAAGGCGACGAUCCGUAGCUGGUCUGAGAGGAUGAUCAGCCACACUGGAACUGAGACACGGUCCAGACUCCUACGGGAGGCAGCAGUAGGGAAUAUUGGACAAUGGGCGCAAGCCUGAUCCAGCCAUGCCGCGUGAGUGAAGAAGGCCCUCGGGUUGUAAAGCUCUUUUGUCCGGAAAGAAAAGCGCCGGGUUAAUACCCUGGUGUCCUGACGGUACCGGAAGAAUAAGCACCGGCUAACUUCGUG